GGCUCAGGACGAACGCUGGCGGCGUGCCUAAUACAUGCAAGUCGAGCGGACAGAUGGGAGCUUGCUCCCUGAUGUCAGCGGCGGACGGGUGAGUAACACGUGGGUAACCUGCCUGUAAGACUGGGAUAACUCCGGGAAACCGGGGCUAAUACCGGAUGCUUGAUUGAACCGCAUGGUUCAAUUAUAAAAGGUGGCUUUUAGCUACCACUUACAGAUGGACCCGCGGCGCAUUAGCUAGUUGGUGAGGUAACGGCUCACCAAGGCAACGAUGCGUAGCCGACCUGAGAGGGUGAUCGGCCACACUGGGACUGAGACACGGCCCAGACUCCUACGGGAGGCAGCAGUAGGGAAUCUUCCGCAAUGGACGAAAGUCUGACGGAGCAACGCCGCGUGAGUGAUGAAGGUUUUCGGAUCGUAAAACUCUGUUGUUAGGGAAGAACAAGUACCGUUCGAAUAGGGCGGUACCUUGACGGUACCUAACCAGAAAGCCACGGCUAACUACGUGCCAGCAGCCGCGGUAAUACGUAGGUGGCAAGCGUUGUCCGGAAUUAUUGGGCGUAAAGCGCGCGCAGGCGGUUUCUUAAGUCUGAUGUGAAAGCCCCCGGCUCAACCGGGGAGGGUCAUUGGAAACUGGGGAACUUGAGUGCAGAAGAGGAGAGUGGAAUUCCACGUGUAGCGGUGAAAUGCGUAGAGAUGUGGAGGAACACCAGUGGCGAAGGCGACUCUCUGGUCUGUAACUGACGC
rnacentral:rRNA from 1 species